rnacentral:rRNA from 1 species
CCCGCUGAACUUAAGCAUAUCAAUAAGCGCAGGAAAAGAAACCAACAGGGAUUGCCUCAGUAACGGCGAGUGAAGCGGCAACAGCUCAAAUUUGAAAUCUGGCCUCUUGGGGUCCGAGUUGUAAUUUGUAGAGGAUGUUUUGGGUACCGCCCCGGUUUAAAUUUCUUGGAACAGAAUGUCAGAGAGGGUGAGAAUCCCGUCUUGGACCGGCGGUAGGGCCUGUGUAAAACUCCCUCGACGAGUCGAGUUGUUUGGGAAUGCAGCUCAAAAUGGGUGGUAAAUUUCAUCUAAAGCUAAAUAUUGGCCAGAGACCGAUAGCGCACAAGUAGAGUGAUCGAAAGAUGAAAAGCACCUUGAAAAGAGAGUUAAACAGUAUGUGAAAUUGUUGAAAGGGAAGCGCUUGCAAUCAGACUUGAGCGCGGCGGUUCCCCCAGCCUUUUGGCUGGGCUACUCCGUCGUGUCCAGGCCAACAUCGGUUCUGAGGGUCGGUCAAAGGCUCUGGGAAUGUACCUACCCACGGGUAGACUUAUAGACCAGGGUGUCAUGCGGCCUCUCGGGACCGAGGAACGCGCUUCGGCUCGGAUGUUGGCGUAAUGGUUGUCAGCGACCCGUCUUGAAACACGG